UCACACGGAUCAUGAUCUGAACGACUGAUACUCACUUCACACGGAUCGCCUUUCCAUUCACUCCUAUCUCACAACUCAAAUCUCACAAACUUCAUCAGACUUUCUCCUUUCUUUCUCUCAGAUCUAGAUUGGAGCGUUUAAACCACCGGUGGAGGAGACUAGGGUUCCGGUGUCAUAAUUGGAUCUGCACUUGGUGGCAUGAAGAUGCGGUUGAGGCUUUGAGGGUUUCGUACAAGAAGAUGAAUCCGUUUUGUGUCCCAUUUGCAAUCACAAACAUGGGUUCUGCAAUUAUUGCAAUGGAUUUGGGUUGGAUGGGACCAAAUUAUUCGAUUUCCACAGCUUGUGCUACGAGUAAUUAUUGUAUACUCAAUGCAGCGAAUCAUAUUAUCAGAGGUGAAACUGACAUGAUGCUUUCUGGUGGUUCCGAUUCAGCCAUCAUUCCUAUAAGUAUCAAAUAAAGGACAAUUUUCAAAACAAUGCUUUCUGUGCAUUCGAUUCUCUUUUCUCCGAUUCACCGAUCCGCCACUGUCAGCCACUCCGUCCGUCCACCGUGGUCAGUCAUUCCGCUUCAGGUAGUCUCUCAUUCGUUUAUUGGCUUCAUCAAUCUAUACAAUCCCUUUAUUCAAUAAAGAUCAAAGAGUUUUAGGUUUCUGCAAGUAUGAAAAUCAAUUAUAAAAUUCACUUGCAGGGAUGAUGUAUAAAGGCAUAGAUUUUGGAAUUAUAUGAAAGUUAAUGCUGUUCCAUGUGUCAUUUUUUCGAUAGAAUAAAUGUAUGUUAUAAAAUUGAUUUGGAACCUUCUUAUUGUUUUGAUUUUAACAUAGUUAUCAAAAGCGUGCGCUUUUGGCGCCUAUGCGUUUUUUCUGGGCGAUUCCCAGUAAUUGCGCCUUUGAUUCCUAGCUAAUUAUAGCGCAGCCUAAAUCCUAUUGAUAUUUAAUAUUUUUCUUUAUUAAGUUGUAAUAUCCCCUUUUUCUGCAGUAUUUAUAGGGAUUUUACUAACAAAUGAUAUCACUAAAGAUCAAAAUCUCGUUUAGUAAUAUUAAGUUUGUAUUAAUUUGUAAAUUCCACUUUUUCUGCAGUAUUUAUAGGGCUUUACUGCAGUAUUUUUUUGCUUACUCUUUUAUUACUUUAAUGAACUAUUUUUUUUCGAACAUUAACAUGUUGGUUUUGAGUAUUUUGUUAUUUGAGACUUUUUAAAUGGAGUAUGAACAUUUUUGUUUUGGUUUUGAGUACUUUAUUGCUUUAAUGAACUUUUUUUUUUAUUUAAGUGCGCUUUUUUUUUCACCGGCCCACGCUUUUUUUGCGCCUAUCACCUAGGCCUAAGCGGAGCCUAAGCGCCUUGAGUGCGCUUCACGCCUUUGAUAACUAUGGAUUUUAAUAUGCAUUGUUUAUCUUAUGUGUGCAUUGUUGCUUAAGGUGUAUAUGGAUUUGUAGGAGGAGACAUGUAUAAAUUGUGGAUAAUUUUAUAACAUGUGUUUUAUGUCUUUUUUUUUUUUUAAUCUUUUUUUGCAAUAUUUAGUGGUACAUUCUCAUUAGGGGUGCAAACGAGCCUAGCGGCUCGCGAGCUACUCGAUAUCGGCUCGAGAAAAAGCUUGAAACAAGUAGAGCUUUAUCGAGCCCGAGCCGAGCUUUAGCCUAAAAACAAAGCUCGUUUGUUUAUCGAGUCCGAGCUCGAGCCUCGCAUGUGAAGCUUGUUAGGCUCGUCGAGCCUUAGUGUAAACGAGCCGAGUCGAGCCUAGCUUAUUUAAACUUGUUUACAAGCCGAUCUCGAACCUAAAAAUAAGCUUAUUUAGUAAACGAGCCCAAGCCCGAGCUUCACUUAUCGAGCUCGCGAGCUUAAAAAGUCUAUUAUUUAAUAUACUAAUUAAUAGAUAAUAAACGAGCCAAGCCCGAGCCGAGCUCGGACUCGGCUCGGCUCGUUUGCACCCCUAAUUCUCAUAGAUGGAAUAGUGAGCUUGUGGGCCCUCUAUGUGGAACCAUAUAAUAAACCUCUGGCUUUUCUUUCUUUUGUACCACAGGUCCACAAUGGUCCCUUGCACAUUUACACUUUAUAUUAAACUUACAGUUUCUUCUUUCAUGUGAUAUUUUUAUAUAAUUUUUACUUUUUCAUAUAUUUUGUUGAACUUCUAUUAUUUGUUCUUUCUUAUUAGAUUUGGAUAUGACUCAGACCCAUUCAAUUCAUUUAUAUAUGUUCUUGUUUUGUGCAUGCUAAUGGCAGUUAUUACAUCAUAUGCAUGAAUUGAUUUUUAAGGUUGUAUAGUUUGUAUUUCGUCUCUAUGCUAUGUAUAUUUUCUCUUCAUCCAUAUAUGUGGCGGCUGCUAAACAUGAGAACGAAGCUGAACCGAAGAAGAUCGGCAUCCAAUUCUUAUGCUGAAUGGGGACCACUUCGUCAUGUCCGUGUUCUACCCACUUUCAAGUCAGUGGCCUGAAGUUGCCUCUUAACUGAGAUUGAAGAUCAUGUAGAUCAAAGUAUAGGUGUUAAUCUAAGAUUGAAAUCUGAUACCUUUGAAGUACGUGCUGUGAUUUCAUUUAUCUGGAUUUUGUUUCUUUAUAGGUGGCGAAAUGGUUUGAUUGGGUAAUGGGCCAAAUGGCUAAGCUUUUAAGAUGGCGCAAAACCGAAUCCAAAUUCAGUAUUCGAAAGAUUAUAUGAUGGUCUAACGCUCAACCGGUUUCCCCUUUUGUUAAGUUACUAAAUUUGACCUCUCUAACUGGUUUCCCCUCUUGUUAAGUUACUAAAUUUGACCCCUUUAACGGUUUGAUUGCUUUAUUUAUCUGUUUUUUUUUUGGAAUUUAUUGUCUCUAAAUUACAAAAAUGAGUUCAGUUUGAGUUUUUUUGGGAAGAAACAUGGGUAAUUUUGUUAUGUAUUAUCAGUUGUUUUACAUCAGGGAAUUUGUUGGCAUUUUGCAGGAAAUUUGUUGGCAUUUGCAAACACAUAAAUCUUCCCUCUAAGCCUCUCUCCAGGUCAAGCUGGUCAAGCUGGCAGCUUCAGGUACUCAAGGUAGUUCAAGUCAUCGAUUGGCAAGGAUGAGCAUCUUAUGUUUGAAGAUUGUUCUUUUUUGCAGACAUUUCAAAAUAAAGUGCAUGCUCAUGCUGUCACAAGUUAGAUAAAAUGGUUUAACGAUGUAUUAUGAACCUAUCGUAACAUUUAUAUUUUCAUGGUCAAGAUCCAACUCUUGUUUCUUUUGUUAAGUUGACAAGCCUUUUGAUUAUUUAUGAUUUUACUGCCUUGUAGUUUACAUUUGUUUCAUGUAUUAAUAAAAUUGGCACUUUGUUUCA